rnacentral:lncRNA from 1 species
UCAUGUGCAUUGUGAUUUGGGUAAUUAUGAUGUGUCUUCUUAUUUCAAAUUUGGACCUACUGCCUCUCAGUAGUACCUGGUCCCGUUCAUUAUUAUUCCGAGGUUUGAAAUUGCUUACUCAAGGACCUUAAGCACCACGCUUGAAUCACAGAAAAAUCGUCUGAUCUAGUAAAUUUUAUCUAAUGGUCAAAAUUAACGUGGAGUAUUUUCGGAAUCGAAAAGAUGUAGAUAAUUCAAAACACCUAUUUCAAAAUCAAAAAAUUUAGUUUUGGAAAAAAA